rnacentral:hammerhead_ribozyme from 1 species
GUACUUCUGAAGAGCCCCAAAUAGGACGGAACAGCUGUCCAGUAU